rnacentral:rRNA from 1 species
AGGGGAAUAUUGCACAAUGGACGGAAGUCUGAUGCAGCAACGCCGCGUGCGGGAUGACGGCCUUCGGGUUGUAAACCGCUUUUUCUAAUGACGAAGUUUUUUGACGGUAGUGGGGGAAGAAGCACCGGCUAACUACGUGCCAGCAGCCGCGGUGAUACGUAGGGUGCGAGCGUUGUCCGGAAUUAUUGGGCGUAAAGAGCUUGUAGGCGGUUUGUCGCGUCGAUAGUGCAAACUCAGUUCUUAACGCUGAGCCUACUGUUGAUACGGGCAGACUAGAGGAAGGUAGGGGAGAAUGGAAUUCCCGGUGGAGCGGUUGAAUGCGCAGAUAUCGGGAGGAACACCGGUGGCAAAGGCGGUUCUCUGGGCCUUUCCUGACGCUGAGAAGCGAAAGCGUGGGGAGCGAACAGG